rnacentral:rRNA from 1 species
UACGAAGGUGGCAAGCGUUGUUCGGAUUUACUGGGCGUACAGGGAGCGUAGGCGGUUGGAUAAGCCCUCCGUGAAAUCUCCAGGCUUAACCUGGAAAGUGCAGAGGGGACUGUUCAGCUAGAGGAUGGGAGAGGAGCGCGGAAUUCCCGGUGUAGCGGUGAAAUGCGUAGAGAUGUGGAGGAACACCGGUGGGCGAAGGCGGGUCUCUGGGCAGUUGCUGACACUGAGGCGCGGACGAGCGUGGGGAGCGAACAGG